UGAUGUGAUGUACUCAAAGAAAGGAGCUG
rnacentral:piRNA from 1 species